rnacentral:rRNA from 43 species
CCCACCUGACCCCAUGCCGAACUCAGAAGUGAAACGCCGUAGCGCCGAUGGUAGUGUGGGGUCUCCCCAUGCGAGAGUAGGGAACUGCCAGGC